rnacentral:rRNA from 1 species
UACGAAGGGGGCUAGCGUUGUUCGGAAUUACUGGGCGUAAAGCGCACGUAGGCGGACAUUUAAGUCAGGGGUGAAAUCCCAGAGCUCAACUCUGGAACUGCCUUUGAUACUGGGUGUCUUGAGUAUGGAAGAGGUGAGUGGAAUUCCGAGUGUAGAGGUGAAAUUCGUAGAUAUUCGGAGGAACACCAGUGGCGAAAGGCGGCUCACUG